ACGUAGGGGGCGAGCGUUGUCCGGAUUUAUUGGGCGUAAAGGGCGUGUAGGCGGUCUGUUAAGUCAGAGGUGAAAAUCCAGGGCUCAACCCUGGAACUGCCUCUGAAACUGGUGGACUUGAGUGCUCUAGAGGGCAGUGGAAUUCCCGGUGUAGCAGUGAAAUGCGUAGAGAUCGGGAGGAACACCAGUGGCGAAGGCGACUGUCUGGGGAGCAACUGACGCUGAGGCGCGAAAGCUGGGGGAGCAAACGGGA
rnacentral:rRNA from 1 species